rnacentral:tRNA from 3 species
GCCCUCCUGGCGGAAUUGGUAGACGCACAGGACUUAAAAUCCUGAGGAUUGUAAAAUCCGUCCCGGUUCAAGUCCGGGGGAGGGCACCA